AACGAACGCUGGCGGCAUGCCUAACACAUGCAAGUCGAACGAUGCCUUCGGGCAUAGUGGCGCACGGGUGCGUAACGCGUGGGAAUCUGCCUUUCGGUUCGGAAUAACUCAGGGAAACUUGAGCUAAUACCGGAUAACGUCGCAAGACCAAAGAUUUAUCACCGAAAGAUGAGCCCGCGUAGGAUUAGCUAGUUGGUGAGGUAAAGGCUCACCAAGGCGACGAUCCUUAGCUGGUCUGAGAGGAUGAUCAGCCACACUGGGACUGAGACACGGCCCAGACUCCUACGGGAGGCAGCAGUGGGGAAUAUUGGACAAUGGGCGAAAGCCUGAUCCAGCAAUGCCGCGUGAGUGAUGAAGGCCUUAGGGUUGUAAAGCUCUUUUACCCGGGAAGAUAACGACGGUACCGGGAGAAUAAGCCCCGGCUAACUCCGUG
rnacentral:rRNA from 1 species